rnacentral:rRNA from 1 species
CCCCUAGAUGUUCUGGGCGGCCCGCGCACUACAUUGGCACUCUCAAUAAGUUCCUAGAUCUAAAACUUUGGGGUAUUCUAUUAAGUGGUGUCGUGACUGGGAUUAACCCUUGCAAUUAUUGGUUACGAACGAGGAAUUCCUUGUAAUCGCGGUUUAUCAGCCCGCGUUGAAUGCGUCCCUGCCCUUUGUACACACCGCCCGUCGCUCCUACCGAUGAAUCGUCCGGUGAAGUUCAUGGAGUGGUGGUUGUUCCAGCUGCUGUCGAAGUGAAAUGGACCUCACGAUUUAGAGGAAGGAGAAGUCGUAACA